rnacentral:rRNA from 1 species
UACGAAGGGGGCUAGCGUUGCUCGGAAUUACUGGGCGUAAAGGGAGCGUAGGCGGGUUAUCAAGUUGGAGGUGAAAGCCCAGGGCUCAACCUUGGAAUUGCCUUCAAAACUGAUAGCCUAGAGUAUGAUAGAGGUAAGUGGAACUCCGAGUGUAGAGGUGAAAUUCGUAGAUAUUCGGAAGAACACCAGUGGCGAAGGCGACUUACUGGAUCAUGACUGACGCUGAGGCUCGAAAGCGUGGGGAGCGAACGGG